UACGUAGGGGGCAAGCGUUGUCCGGAUUUAUUGGGCGUAAAGAGCGUGUAGGCGGCCUGAAAGGUCAGCUGUGAAACUCGAGGCUCAACCUCGAGACGUCGGUUGAAACCAUCUGGCUAGAGUCCGGAAGAGGAGUGUGGAAUUCCCGGUGUAGCGGUGAAAUGCGCAGAUAUCGGGAAGAACACCCGUGGCGAAGGCGGCACUCUGGGACGGUACUGACGCUGAGACGCGAAAGCGUGGGGAGCGAACGAGG
rnacentral:rRNA from 1 species